GCGUAAAAAGCACAUGAUGCAACAGCAGCCGGGAGGAAAGCCACCGUCUCAUCGAGUAGACUUUGACAUCACAGCAAACCAGCAGCCUCCUGGACUCAGUUCGGCUCCAAGGUUCUCAUCUAAAUCCUCUUGAGCCGCCCGGUCACAGCGUGGGCUGUGCGUAAAAAUGGAGCUGUCGGCGUGCACGCACCACAGCGCUCUUACGCACACUCACAGACAUCGCACACGCGGAGAAACGUGGUUCAAGUGAAGGCUGCAUCUUGCAUGGCAGCUUCUUCACGAACUGAUGAUGUGAAGUAACGCUAUGUGGACCAGAACCGGGCGAGUCCGUCAGUUGCGCUGAGGAAGGAUGCUGAGUGAAGAUGCAGGAGGACAUUUGAGACAAGCUUACACAUUCCAUAACUCCAUUUGGGCUCCGUAAGUAUGAGCAGGACCACCAUGGAGAGUCUCAGUGAGCUCCAGAAUCCUCUUCUCGACAAAAGCAACAGACAUGUCGUGCAGGGUUACCGUGGCGACUACCCAACCCAGCGGUACCAUGAGGACAGCCUUGUGAGCUACUACUACAGCGGGACUAAUGAUGACCACAAGUCUCAGCAGUUUCUAGACGCCACCUCACUUCAUCUUGCGGUGGAGGCCUUCUACAAACCAAACUUGAUAUUGUGUAAGGACAACGUCAGCCUCCACAGCAAAGACUCCAAGAGCGAGAUCUUUGAAACCACCUUCACAGAGAGUAAGGACGCGGUGUUGGGCGAGGACUCCGCAGAGAACCAAAGCACACAAGGAGAGAAGGAUGUAAAGAUCCAGACGGUAUCAUAUGACGUGGAGGACGAGCAAGUUCCUGAGUAUGAGAGUGAUAGCGCCAGUGAAAGCGAGAGUGAGGACAACUUUCUGGUGCUCCCACCUCGAGACUACCUGGGCCUCGCCAUUUUCUCCAUGCUCUGCUGCUUCUGGCCUUUGGGCAUUGUUGCCUUCUACUAUUCUCACAAGACUGGCAAGGCCGUCGCUAAGGGAGACUUUUCCAGAGCUGGAAUGAGUUCCAGGAGAGCCCUUUUUCUAGCUGCUCUGUCCAUUACCAUCGGCACAGGGAUGUACGUGGGGGUGGUGGUGGCCCUCAUAGCCUAUCUGUCCAAACCUGGACAUGUAUAGCACUGUCUAAAGUGGGACACUUGGGAGGAGACUGCUGAGGAUGGACAUCAUUACUCCUGAAGGCUACUGGAUUUCAACAGAAUGGAGAUAAAAACAAACAUGGAGGAGAAACGCUUAUUUGUCCAAAAAUAAGAACAGACGUCAGGCGUCAUGAAGGUUCUAGACUGAUGGAUGGGUGGAGUCGGGACACCUCAUUUAAAACCAGCAGCAUCCAUCCUGCCUCCAUGAAUCCACAGACAGAAGACAGCCUCAUCUCAACAGAUGUCAGUAAAGGACCACAGAGCUCUGCUGAUACAACCAUCAUCUUCAGGAUGGAAGUUUUGUGAGUAUUUUAGGCAGGAAAAGUGCGUUUGCAGCUCAUAUUCCCCACCAAGCAGAGGUGAGAGGUGAGUUGAGUGUAGGAAGCAGUUUGCUGUGUCAGUCCUUACUUUGUUUCUCCUCCGCAGGACUCAGAGGAUCGCUGGGCUUCUCCUCCUGCUCCUCCUCGUCCUCCAGUGAGCUACCGUGACAAACCGUCCCCAGCACUUUGGCACUAUGCUCCUGUGCUUUGGCCCUGAGGGCAGCAAUGCUGUUCUCUCUCAGUUCCUCUUUAGAAAUGGACGACUUGCCCUUUGACAUCCGCUCCACCCUCUCCGAGUCCUCAGGUCUCUGAGAGCUCGGCCGCGGGGUCUCGUUGCACUUGGCAGCCGGCGGCGGCAGUUCAGGGGGUGCUGGAGCCUCCAUGGACUUCUUGUGCAUCCCUGCAAAGAGUUGCGGGUAUUCAGAUUUAGAAUAGCGUCUGCUGACUGGUAAGCCAUCUUGAACUGAAAACAGCAAGCAAAGACAGUCGCGCUUUAGAACACAAAGACAACAGUGGAGGCACAAUAAUGUCUUUCAUGUACCAAAUUGACCCAAAUAUAAGACCCUGCUCACUAUAAAGUGCUAUUCAAAAGCUUUUAUUUCAUAGACACGAGUCUUAAUGUGAAAUAUGUGUUGCUAUAAUCGACAAUGGUGUCCUGUCAUACAUUACCAAUCAGUGGCCAGCUGUUGUAAGUGCAAAAUAAAAAUAUAUUUUGCGAACCAUAGGGCACACCGAAUAAUAAGGCGCACAGCCAAUGAGUGGGUCUAGUUAGGUUUAUUUUCAUACAAAAGGCGUAUUGUGAUUUUUUUUAAAAUUGAAAACACUUCCUUGUGGUCUACAUAACAUGUAAUGGUGGUUCUUUGGUAAAACGUUGCAUCGAUUAUGUUUUACAGACCAUCUUCAAGUCGGUUUCUGACGGUCGCUUCCUGAUGCGCCUUUUUGUGGGCGGUCUUAUUUAUGUGGCUCACCUUUGACAGCGGCUUUUCCACAUCAUUUUUGUUGUACCGGUGUAGCAUGCAAGGACGGGAGAUGAAGAAGUGUCAAAAGAUAAAGCUAACUAUUUUAAUGACAUUCAGACUUUACUUAAAUUAAUAACGGAGCAGCAUCUUCUCAUCCGUGGCUCCCUAGUGCAACAAAAACACCAGAAAUGUUUCCUGUGAAAAAUCGUCCGAACGGAACUCUCUAAUGACCAAAGUUCUGUGGAUGAAUUAUGCAAACCCACUACACUGGUAGUUUUAGCACUUUCAUAGCGAGUCUACUGAAAUUUUACGCCCCAUAACAGUAAGAUAGAGAAAAAGAAGAAGCUUAUCGGCUACGGCGAUUCACGGAUGAAAAGGCGAACGUGUGCAAAUUUUUUAGGGCUUAUGUAGAUCCCAAAUACACAUCAGCAGGUACCAGCAGAUAAGAAAAGUUGGUUUUACAUAAUUUUGAGAAACAAAACGCCGGGUAAAAUGUUUGCUCAUGGGUACCAUAUGUGUAAGCACAAUACGUCUGACUACAGUAGCCGUAAUGCUUCGACAAUCCAUGAAGCGGCGCGACUUAAUAGUUUACCAAAGUCAUACUGAAACAUUGUGACAGAUUUUUUAGCUCCGUGUGUAAUGUGCCAUAUUCUUAAAGGGACAUUUAAAGUUUUGGUGUUGAUUACUGGCGUCAUUUUGCAGUCUACACGUAUCUCUUAUGUGUGACUGCCAUCAACUGGUUACAUUUAUCAUUACACCAUAUACCAAAUAAAAUGACUUCUUGGUCGGUAUCCACAACCAGAAUUAUUCCGUACAUUAGGGGCACUAGGUUAAAAGGCACAUUUAUAGUUCGGAAAAUACAAAGCAUGAUACAAAAACAAUAUCGGUAACAGGUAUAACACAAAGGAAGAUGCAUUUAUACAUAAAAUGAAAUGAUGAGUGGGUUUAUUAUUGUAAGUAUGUGUGAAUGCAAUUAAAUAUGUUCUCCCCGCUUCCUCCCACCUCCAAAGAUUGACUGAUUGGCAACACUAAAUUGGCCCUAGUGUGUGAAUGUGAGUGGCCUAGUGGUUAGAGUGUCCGCCCUGAGAUCGGUAGGUUGUGAGUUCAAACCCCAGUCGAGUCAUACCAAAGACUAUAAAAAUGGGACGAAUUACCUCCCUGCUUUGCACUCAGCAUCAGGGGUUGGAAUUGGGGGUUAAUCACCAAAAAUGAUACCUGGGCGCAGACACCCACUGCUCCCCUCACCUCCCAGGGGGUGUUUAAGGGUGAUGGGUCAAAUGCAGAGAAUAAUUUCGCCACACCUAGCGUGUGUGUGACAAUUAUUGGUACUUUAACUUUGAAUGGUGUCUGUUUAUCUGUAUUGACCCUGUGAUGAGGUGGCCACUUGUUCAGGAUGUACGUAGCCUUCUGCCUGAAUGCAGCUGGCAUAGGCUCCAGCACCCCCGCCUUCUGCCUGAAUGCAGCUGGGAUAGGCUCUAGCACCCCCGCGACCAAAAGAGGGACAAGUGGUAGAAAAUUCAUGGAUGUCUCCUGUUAAUAUACUUAAUAUUGUCAAGUAUCAGGUGAUAAUGUACCGUAUUGUUGUUUUAAUAAACGAAUUAUCCGAGCGAUGGAGCAAGGGAAUAUAUGCAUUUGGUUCUUCCUGCUCCUUUUCAGACACACACAAUGCUUAUUUUUUUUUUCAU